AAUACAGCAUGUAGGCUAUAGCAGCAUGGAGGCGACAAAGCAGCAAGGAGGUGUCGUAUGAUCAUUUAAACGAGUCUUAUGACAAGUUUGGCGAGGAUGG